UAAAAAUGUUUAAGUUUAACUCAACACAAACUGGUAAGUUCAUGACUUGUAUAAUUUACUUAUAUGUUGUUAUAUUGCAAUUCUGUACCCUACUCCUUUGAAAUAAAAAAAAAAAAAAAAUUGUUUGCAAUUGCGUAUGAUGUGAACAGUGGUCAUGUAUUAUAGUUGUGUCAUGAAUUUAAUAAUGCCCCCAAUGGCUUCGAAAUAGACAAUGGAUGGAAAAAGUCAUGAAUAUUGAGCUUAUUUACCCUUUAAACACUAGCUUGAUCGUCAUGCGCAUACAGUGUAUUGUUUGUUUCCAGAACCCCCUCAAGCAGACUUCAACUUUUUUUGUUAAAUUGUAUAUAAUAUUUUGCUUCAUACACUGUAUGUGUGUGUGUGUAUGUGGGAACACUCAUGUUUGGAUGCUUGGCAUAGGUUAAUGGGUAAUUUCAUUGGAGUCAUCAGGGAUAUAGUUUGUAUAUUCCUGAAAUUACCUCUAAACACCUAAAACAGCAUUCCCUAAAAUUUUAAUUGUUUUCUUACAUUGC